rnacentral:misc_RNA from 1 species
GAUGAAGAACGUAGCGAAAUGCGAUACUUGGUGUGAAUUGCAGAAUCCCGUGAACCAUCGAGUCUUUGAACGCAAGUUGCGCCUCAAGCCAUUAGGUUGAGGGCACGUCUGCCUGGGCGUCACAUAUCGUUGCCUGAUGCCAGUUUCCUCGUGAUGGGUGACUGUGCAGGGCGAAUGAUGGCUUCCCGUGAGCAUUGUUGCCUCAUGGUUGGUUGAAAAUUGAGUCCUUGGUAGGGAGCGCCGUGAUAGAUGGUGGUUGAGUGACGAACGAGACCCAAUCAUGAGAGACCCCUACCGAAUUUGGCCUUCAUGACCCACAUGCGUCUUUGGAACGCUCAUGACGAGACCUCAGGUCAGGCGGGGCUACCCGCUGAGUUUAAGCAUAUCAAUAAGCGGAGGA